GUAAUGUUUCUUGCUCAAAUGAGUAUUCCAAUCACAGUUGCAUUUGCAUAUACAUAUAUAUAUAUUCACACUCAUAAAACCCAAAAAAAAAAAAAAAUGGGUCUGUAUUAAUGUCCCAUGUUUUACCAUAUGUAUUGGUUUUAUGAUGCAUUUGCUUCUGUUUUUCUGAGAUGCUCAUUUAAGCAAGCAAUGUUAA
rfam:Gossypium arboreum cultivar AKA8401 contig_3255_1, whole genome shotgun sequence.